rnacentral:rRNA from 1 species
AUUAACUAGUUGGUAAGGUAAUUGCUUACCAAGGUAACGAUGCGUAGCCGAUCUGAGAGGAUGAACGGCCACAUUGGGACUGAGACACGGCCCAAACUUCUACGGAAGGCAGCAGUAGGGAAUUUUUCACAAUGGGCGAAAGCCUGAUGGAGCAAUGCCGCGUGACUGAUGAAGGUCUUCGGAUUGUAAAGGUCUGUUGUAAGGGAAGA